rnacentral:lncRNA from 10 species
CAGUCAGAUUCCCUCACUAAUGCAAUUGCAGAUUCCUACAUUUCUUCCUGAAGGUGGCAGUAUUUUAGUGACAAAAACUGACAACAAGCUGAGGAACUGUACCAGAGCUCUCGGAGAUCAACAAAGGUGCCGCUUUUGAAUGUGAAAGUUUUUUCAAGACUUUUCUAUUUCUUGGUUUGAAUCGUGUGCCUGUAGGGACACAUGCUACCUGCUUACUGGACAGUGACUACUUAGGAUAAGGACUCAGACACACAAGUGGAGAAGAUAAAUAGUAAUUUGGAACCAAAACUCAGGACGUCCCAGGAGAGGCUAGAUUAGGAAUUCUUUGAUUUGGGAUCACGAAAAUGAAGUAUCCAUAUUUUAACAGAAUGAUUAGUGGCAGAGGAAUCAUCUAAGAAAACUGAGAAGACUCUGCCAGAGUGAUGGGAAGAAAACUAGAUGAGAAAGCACCAUUCUGGAAGACAUGCUCCCAUGAACCAUGGAGAGAAGAGGAGAGGGAAGAAGUUAUUUGUGAUGUCAUUUGCCUGUGUCAUGGCCUGCCUUCCCUAGAUAUUGUCCUAAUGUGAGCAUCACACCUAAGGUACUGAAGUAGAGUUCUGGCUGUUCCUUACGGACAUCUCUGGUGUUGGGAUCCAGAGAACCUUCCCCUUCUGAGCAGCAAAACCAAAUAAAGCAGUUCUCAGGAUACAAAGACAAGACUGAGGAAGAUCCUAAUAAGGUGUUGCAAGGUGACACAGGACAAACUUUGUCCAAAGGAAAUUGAUCUGACAAGAACUUCUGGACUUGUCAGUUCUUAGGGCUGACUGGUCUAUCCUCUUUCUAUUGACUUUGGCUUACUAGACUCAAGCAGAAAGUGACAAGGGAAGAAAAGGAUACAAACAGAAGCAAGUUUCCAAGAACAAGGUUUACAUCAGGAAGAGCCAAUCAAAGAUCAUAUCUGGAGGACUGCUGCAAAGUUGUGAUAAAUGACCAAAUAGUAUUUUUAUAGAAGGUGGAAUGAAUGACAGACUAAAGAUUUCAGCUGAUUAAAGAAAUUAUGGAGUGCAUCAUUCUCAGUUUAUAUUGAACUGGGGUUCCUGAGAAAUUCCUCCUUAUAAAUUUACAUGGAAAUUAUAAUUUUUACUAGUUGAUUUCAGUUAAUUAGCCUACUGAAUAAUUUGAUUCUUGCACUCACUAAAAGAUCAUAGAGCACAAGAAUACCAUUUACAAAAUACUUUAAAAGUGGGGAUAUAAACACAAAUAAGGUCUUGUACCAACCUUGAAGGGAUUUUCAGUCUAGGUAAAAACCAUUUAAAAUAAAAAGAGGGCAUCCUUGUUUUAUUCCUGUAUUUAAGAGAAUGUGUCUUUCAGUGUUUAAAAUAAUGUUUACUGCUGGUUUAUGAUAAAUACUUUAAAAAAUCACAUUAUGGGAAUGUUUUCCAAUUUUCAUUUCCUAAGAGAUUUUUGUCAGGAAUGUAGUUGAAUUUUAUUAAG